rnacentral:ncRNA from 1 species
GUACCGUGGCGCAAUGAAGGUGAAGGACCGCCAGGGCAAAAGGUGGGAUCCCGAGGCCUCUCCUGUCCACCGAGGACGCACCACCCGCCCGUCUCGCCCGCCUUGCCGGGGAGGUAGAGCGUGAGCGCACGUGUUAGGACCCAAAAGAUGGUGAACUAUGCCUGGACAGGGCGAAGCCACAGGAAACUCUGGUGGAGGUCCGUAGCGGUCCUGAUGUGCAAAUCGGUUGUCCGACCUGGGUA